rnacentral:lncRNA from 1 species
GAGAGAGAAGGCUGUCUCUCUGUAGAUGGCUGUGUUUCAACUGUACUGAGAAAUGGAAAAAGUCAGUUGGCCAAGCAAAAGUGCUAAGAGCAGAGAGGAGUCAAGAAUCCUCAUGGGCUUCCAGUGCCUGGUUCAAGGUGUCAGGAUCUAUACAGCCUGGCUUCUCUACUGCCUGAAGGGAAAUGAGACAAGCAGGACUAAGUGGAAACCCAGGUAAGAGACCCGAUGCUCUGAAAUGUGUCUGAAGCCCCCAAUCUGGCAUUCUGACCCCAAAGCAUAUACCUUUUCACCAUCUAAGCAUUUGUUAUGGCUGCCAAGCACUGUCCACCAAACUCAGACUCUGGGCUGACCAAUAAAACUGCUAACCCCAAGCAGAGACAUCUGAAGCAUGAAUGGAUGUGGUGUGAGGGAGAUUCUCCAUUGCUGACUUUGAAGAUGACAUGGCAAGCUCUCUGACAGCGACCCCAAGCUGACAGCCAGCAAGGAAAUGAGAACCUCCUGACAACCACAAGGAACUGAAUUCUUCCAACAGCCCAAAUGAACUUGGAAGAAGACCCCAGGCCUUUAUCAAAAAGAGAGAUGCCUCAAGAAAUGGCCCAAACAAGGUGGAUGGAGUUUUCCAAGAACAGCAUUCAACCCAGGAUGCAGGGCUGACACAGAAGAGCCAGGGCAACUCACCAAAACUAUGGGAACUCCCACCUGAUGUGCCUUUAAACCAGGCCCCCUCCUGCCUCAACCUCCUCUUCACCCACACGUAAGCAAUAAAAACCCAGGCUAAUAAGAUCGCAAGACAGAGAACAUGUGGGUGGUUAUUUAUGUUUCAUACCCUUCUCCAUUAAGUUACAUGUUGGCCUAAGUCCUUCUGAAAAUAAAUGUCUGUUUUAAAACAAAAU